UCGUCCCAACAUAGUGACUGGAAAAGUCUUUGGAAAACUCAUGCUCCCCCAAAGGCCAAACAUCUCCUAUGGCGUAUUUGCAAAGGAUGCUUGUCAACACGUAUUCAGCUACAAGAAAGCAAUGAGGAUGAUUGGCAUAUUCUAUUUGAUUGCAUUGACAACAUACACGCAAGACAAGCUGCGGGUCUGGACCAUGUUAUCAUGCUUGGCUACAGCAGUUCAGCAGCGUUUCUGAGGUAAUCUGAGAGGUUAUUUCAGCCGAGAAUAAGCAGACACAGCAGGAGUUCUUGCAAUGUUACUGUGGGUGCUAUGGAAUAAUCGGAAUAAUAGUGUUUGGAAUGAUUCAAAGGAGCAGGGAAGAAGCUUAAGGAUUAAAGCAAGGCUGCUAUGGGAGGAAUGGAAUUCUGUACACCAGAUGCAGUGUGACAACCAGCCAGCAGAAC
rnacentral:lncRNA from 1 species